GCCCGUGUGGCGAAAUUGGUUAUCGCACCCGACUUUUAGCGAAAGCAAAAAGGUCAAUCGGGCGGUUGCGGGUUCGAGCCCCGCCAUGGGCU